GUGAUUAAACUGAUAACAAUAGUACUAAACACACCACUCACUCACUGGUGUCACAAUAGCUUGGAUUUAAAAACAAAAAACUUUUUUCACUGUUAUAGAUUGAAUAGCAGUUAGUUAUCUUCAAGCAGGUGUGUCAGCCCUACAGCGUGUACUCUGCCAGUACGCUGCCACCUCCUCUACUCCUCCUACUCCAUCCUCUUCCAUAACCUCCUCGGCUUAGUCCUCUUCUGCUGCUGCGUCUUGCUCCACAUCAACGGAUAGGGGGCGUAACAGUGAUUAAACUGAUAACAAUAGUACUAAACACACCACUCCUAUCUGGUGGCACAUUAGAUUGCACGCGCAGUGCCCCAAAUUUGUUGUGAUCUGUGAGUAAGGUAAACGGUUGUCCAUACAAGUAGGUUGCGGCUUUUUGAGGGCCCACACCACCGCUAUGCACUCCUUUUCAAUGGCAGUGAAUAUACUUCGCUGUGCAAAAGUUUACGGCUUAGAUAAGCCCCGGGUUGCUAGCCACCAUCUGCUCCGACUUGGCUCAAUACUGCUCCCAAUCCAAGCAUAGAAGCGUCUGUAUGGCCGAGAAAGUGUUUAGUUGGAUCAGGAGAAGAAAGUACAGGUGAUUUAAUGAGCGCCGUCUUGAGCUGUUGGAAGGCCUGUUCACAUUCUGGGGCCCAUACUACUAUCUUGGGGAGGUUUUUACACGUUCCUAUAUGGCACUUACUGGGCUUUAGGGUCAGUCCGGACUCCCUAAUCCGGU